GAAGGUAUAGCUCAACGUGGUAGAGCACGUGCUUAGCAUGUAUGAGGUCCUGGGUUCAAUCCCCAGUACUUCCU
rnacentral:tRNA from 1 species